CAGAGCAGCAGUGGGUGGAGCCACAUGGUGACUCAACAGGUGGAGAGCAGAUAAAUGAGUGUGACUUCUCCAGAAGUGAAGCAGACGGGAAAGAGAGGCUGGACGUCUGCUCAGGAUUUCUACUGCUAUCUCACAGCUGAGGGAUCACUGACGUCUCUGAGCUGCAGGGGGCAGCAGCUCACCAGCAGAACCAGGGCAGACCAGCGUUCACAGGAGCAGGAAACCAGAGGAGGGUUGGGCUUCAAAGCUGCUGAGCAGGAAGAGAAACUCUUCAAACACUGGCUGUUGUUGAGAGGAGGAAAUGGCUCAGGGAGGAGCUGAGCGACAGGACAUCCUGAGAGAGACUGAAGAGGAGCUGCUACUGCUACAACCACAGCCAGAGAGCAGAGCAAACUUCUUACAAUAUUCACAGCAGAUCACUCUGGAUCCAAACUCUGUGAACAAAAACCUGAAAUUAUCUGAUGGAGACAGAAAAGUAACUUAUACAGAGGAAGUUCAGCCUUAUUCUGAUCAUCCAGACAGAUUCACUGAUUAUCUUCAGGCUCUGAGCAGAGAGAGUCUGACUGGACGUAGUUACUGGGAGGUGGAGAGGAGAGGACCAGUUACUGUAGGAGUCACAUACAAGAACAUCAGCAGAGUAGGGAGGGGAAAGGAAUGUGGAUUAGGAUGUAAUUACAAAUCCUGGGCUUUAGAGUGUGACUCAAACAGUUAUAUUUUUUGGCGCAUAAACAAAACUCCCUUCUCAGGUCCUGAGUCCUCCAGAGUGGGAGUGUACCUGGAUCACAGAGCAGGUAUUCUGUCUUUCUACAGUGUCUCUGAAACCAUGACUCUCCUCCACAGAGUCCAGACCUCCUUCACUCAGCCGCUACACGCUGGAGUUAGACUUUAUUAUUCUGCAAUCUCAGCAGAGUUGUUGAAACCUGAGUAGAGGACUCCAUCAGAUCUCCUUGUGUGGUUUUCUAAAGGAGCCUCCACAUUUUCUGAGCUGAGACGUUGAUGAGAUUUCUGACAGGAAGAAGAUUGAAACCAACAGAUGGUCGGCCGUCUUCUCAGAGACUUUCUACGUGGACAAAAGGAUGUGAGACGAGUGUGGAGAGACAGAAAGGAGCUGAGUUAGUGGAGACAAACAUGGCCGCUGCAGCCAUCAGUCCCCUCACUGAUUCCUCAACUGAUGCUUUUCUAAUAGUUGGACUCAUUUUUCAAGCUUCUCAAACAGGAAGUUCUUCUUCAUGGACCACAGGAAGCUGCAGCUUUUCACACUUUGGGGGAUUUGAAGUGGAAAUUAGGAGCUUUCACAUGUUUGGAUUGAUCAGUCUUUCUUUUUUCAUGAUUCUUUUCUGACAUUUGAUCCUUCAGAGUGAAGAUUUGUGGAUUUUCUUGAACAGUGAACUGAUUGUUUUGGCUUUUUGGAUCUUCAUCUGUCACCAAGUGGCAGGAAGUUUGAUUCUUUUAGCUGGAAAUGACUCCAGUCGACAACAACAGUCAACAAUUUACACACACACACACACACGCACGCACACACACACGCACGCACGCUCACACGCACGCACACACACACACACACACACACACACACACACACACACACACACACACACACACAGGUUUCUUUUAAAGGCAUUAAAUCAGUCAUAAAGUGAAAUGCUGCUUUAUUAAUUGUCGAUUUGUUUCUUUUUCAAAGGUUUUUGCUUCAAAUGUUGUUUGUGUGACGCCAAGAGAAACCAAGUCAGUCAACAUGAAGCCUUUAAUAAAAUACAUUCAAUGAUCAUUCUAGACUGGAUCAGCAUUUGUUACACACACACACGCACACACACACACA